GACGUAGGAGGCGAGCGUUAUCCGGAUUUACUGGGCGUAAAGCGCACGCAGGCGGCUCUGUAAGUUGGACGUGAAGGCUCCCGGCUUAACCGGGAGAGGUCGUUCGAUACUGCGGGGCUUGAGGUUGGGAGAGGGGUGCGGAAUCCCCGGUGUAGUGGUGGAAUGCGUAGAUAUCGGGGGGAACACCAGUCGCGCAAGCGGCGCCCUGGCCCACACCUGACGCUGGGGUGCGAAAGCGUGGGGAGCAAACAGG
rnacentral:rRNA from 1 species